rfam:Hydnomerulius pinastri MD-312 unplaced genomic scaffold scaffold_10, whole genome shotgun sequence.
GGUGAGAUGGCCGAGCGGUCCAAGGCGCCAGACUAAGGAGGACCAAGUCGUUUGACGACUGGAUGGAAAAUAUCUGGUCCGAAAGGGCGUGGGUUCAAAUCCCACUCUCAUCA